AUGGAUCAGAAUGCAACUUCUGAUUAUUAUAUUGUGGCAAGUGCUCGGUUUGUGAAUGAAUCACUUUGGCAAAGAGUCAUAGGUGUUGCAGUCUUGCAUUACUCCAAUUCUAAGGGACCAGUAUCUGGUCCUCUGCCAGAGGCACCAAGUGAUGUUUAUAACCAGUGGGCAGCAAUGACUCAGCCUAGAUCAAUCAAGCAAAAUACAACUGCAAGUGGGGCUCGCCCUAAUCCACAGGGAUCUUUUCACUACGGCCAAAUCAAUAUUACUGAAACAUAUGUGUUAAGGAGCUUGCCACCAGUUACAAUUGAUGGAAAGCAACGUGCAACAGUGAAUGACAUAUCAUUUGUCAAUCCUGAUACACCAAUAAGGCUUGCUGACCUGC
rnacentral:misc_RNA from 1 species